rnacentral:tRNA from 1 species
UCCCUAGUGGUCUAAUGGCUAAGACUCCACGCUCCCAAUGCAGGGGGCCCGGGUUUGAUUCCUGGUCAGGGAA